GUGUCGAUACCUCGGUGGUUAGCGCGUCGAGCUAGCAACCCGUAGCGUGCGGGUUCGAAUCUCCGACACG